rnacentral:rRNA from 1 species
GGACCCGGGUCUUCGGACUGGGAGCGUACACAGGUGCUGCAUGGCUGUCGUCAGCUCGUGUCGUGAGAUGUUGGUUAAGUCCCGCAACGAGCGCAACCCCUGCUGCCAGUUGCCAACGGGUGAAGCCGGGCACUCUGGCGGGACUGCCAUCGACAAGAUGGAGGAAGGUGGGGAUGACGUCAAGUCAUCAUGCCCCUUAUGUCCAGGGCUUCACACAUGCUACAAUGGCCAGUACAGAGGGCUGCGAGACCGUGAGGUGGAGCGAAUCCCUUAAAGCUGGUCUCAGUUCGGAUCGGGGUCUGCAACUCGACCCCGUGAAGUCGGAGUCGCUAGUAAUCGCAGAUCAGCAACGCUGCGGUGAAUACGUUCCCGGGCCUU